ACAAGCAGCGGAGCGUGUGGUUUAAUUCGAUGCAACACGAAGAACCUUACCAGGGCUUGACAUGUUAGAAGUAGGAACCCGAAAGGGGACGACCAGUAUCCAAUCUGGAGCUAACACAGGUGCUGCAUGGCUGUCGUCAGCUCGUGCCGUGAGGUGUAUGGUUAAGUCCCACAACGAGCGCAACCCUCGUCGCUAGUUAAUUUCCCUAGCGAGACCGCCUCGCAAAACGAGGAGGAAGGCGGGGAUGGCGUCAAGUCAGCAUGGCCUUUAUACCCUGGGCGACACACACGCUACAAUGGGUGGUACAGUAGGUAGCGAAGGAGCGAUCCGGAGCAAAUCCUUAAAACCAUCCUCAGUACGGAUUGCAGGCUGAAACCCGCCUGCAUGAAGCCGGAGUUGCUAGUAACCGCAUAUCAGCAUGGUGCGGUGAAUACGUUCUCGGGCCUU
rnacentral:rRNA from 1 species